ACAGCACGACCGGCGCCCACGACGUCACCACGCCCCGCCCUCCGCGCACACCUAGCCCCGCCCCCGGGCGCCCGCGCGGCAUCCACGCCCCGCCUCCCACCCUCGCAGGCCGCCGGGCUUUCCCUUGUCCCUCCGGGAAGCGCCUCCCGAAGCGGCUCAGGGGGACCGCGCAACAGGAUCGCGAAGCGCGGCGCUUCGAGGCCACGAAGUGUGUACUGCCAAUCAAGGUGACUGUAGAGCAGCCAGAGAAGAGUCUUCAAAGACUUCAUUUCUGGGACUGGGAAGAUGGGCUCUGUGGGUGCAAGCACUUGCUCUGCAAGCAUGAGCCCCUGACUUUGAAGACCAGGAACCCACAUAAAAUCCAGGCGCAGCUUCGAAUGUUUGUAACAGCAGUGCUGUGGAGGGAAGACAGGCUGAUCCCCAAAGGUUGACGAUAAAAUGAACUUGUGAUUCGGUGAGAGACCCUUUCUCAAGGCAACAAUGCAGAGGGCAAUAGAGGAAGACAACUGAAGUCCUGCUCUGGCUUCUGCACAUGCACACUCACCUACACACGCACACACAUGCCUGCACACACUCAGACAGAAACUGAGAUUGAGGGAAAGCCAUUCUUCAUUGACUGUUUUUCCAGCUACUUCUCUGCACAGUAAGUAUAGAGAAGUGCGGGGAUGUCCUGGAGCUCACAGCAGUAGUGGCUUCAGUCCCAAGUGACAACACCGCAAGCUUGGGACACUGCACCAGUGCUCUCACUGUGCUUUAUGCUGGCUUGGCACCUGGCCCCCCUUUUUUUCCCAGUUUCUCUAUUUUGGGAUGAAAAUAUUUAUUCUGUGUAUGUCCUGCCAUUGUUUCCUGGAAGCAUGUAACUUGUCUGGUUCUUAGCUGGAGAGAAUUUUUGCCUUAGGAUGACUCACCCCAAGUCUCACCCAUACAUAACUUAGAUAAUACAGACUGAGUACCUCUUACCUGAAA